AAAAAUUACACACACAUGGGUAUCACAUGAAUCGUAAUGGGACAGAUCAUAAACAAAGUCAAAAACAGGCGUAAGGUCAUACACAGGCGAAAAGCACUUCUCUCUACACAAAACGCAAUGGCAAUGAUCUGUCCUGGGAUGGAGACGGCCGAGGCUUAAGUACACUUCUGGAAGCGUGCAGGCGACCAAUCCUGUCACACAAGGCCGAAGCAGGCGUGGACAAGACGUGAUCGCCCAGUAGCAGGCCGGAACGUCUGCGUGCAGUAGGUGUUGCCUAGAGAAGGGGGAAGAGACAAAAGAAAACCCAGACCACCACCGCCAUAGACACACAAAAGAUAGAGCAAACAAAUACGUUGGAUAACGUAACACAGCCAACCAGCCCAAAUGCCAGCAAGCCAAAAAGCCAGCUAAACAACCAGCCAGUCAAAAGCCAGCUAGGCAGCUGAAAAGCUGGCUAGCCAGCCAGCUAAACACCCAGUCUGCAGCCUAAAAGCCAUCCAUCAGCCAGCCAGACCGCCAGCCAGCCAGUCAAAUGCCAGUCAGUCUAAAAGCCAGCCAGCCAGACCACCUACCAGCCAAAAGCCAGCCUAAAAGCCAGCCAGACCACCAGCCAGCCAACGAAAAAUGCCAGCCAAAAAGUGAGCCAGUCUGCCAGCCAGCCAGCCAAAAAGCCAGCCAGUAAGCAUCAUCAAAACACUUAGCCAGCCCAAAAGCCAGCCACCCAAAAAAGCCAGCUCAAAGGCCAACCAAUUCAAUUCCAGCCAGCCAGCCAGUCAGCCAAUAUGUCAGCCUAAACGCCAGCCAGUCAGCCAAAAAGCUAGGCAGCCAAACAGCCAGCCAGGCAGCCAAACAGCCAGCCAGGCAGUCAAAAUGCCAGCCAGCCAGCCCUAAAUUCCAGCCAGCCAUCCCAAAAGCCAGCCCGCCAAAAAGCGAGCCAGCCAGCCAGCCAGCCAUCCCAAAAGCCAGCCAGCCCUAAAUUCCAGCCAGCCAGCCCAAAAGCCAGCCAUCCAAAAAAGCCAGCCAAAAAGCGAGCCAGCUUACCAGCUAGACAGUCGGCCAGCCACCCUCAAAGCCAGCUAGCCACAAUGCCAUGCAGUCAGUUAGACAAAAAUCCAAAGAGCCAGCCAGUCAGCCAAAAAGCUAAGCAGUCAAAAAGCCAGCCAGCCAGCCCAAAAGCCAGCCACUCAAAAAAGCCAGCCAAAAAGCAAGCCAGCCUGCCAGUGAGUCAGCCAGCCGAAAUGCCAGCCAGUCAGCCACCCAGACCGCUAGCCGGCCCAAAAUCCAGCCAAAAAGUGAGCAAGCUUGCCAGUCAGCCAAAAAGCCAGAUAGCCAGCCAGUCAGCCAAAAAGCCCGCCAGCCAGCCAGUCAGCCAAUAUGCCAGCCUAAAUGCCAGCUAAUCAGCCAAAAAGCUAGGCAGCCAAACAGCCAGCCAGGCAGUCAAAAUGCCAGCCAGGCAGUGAAAAAGCCAGCCAGACAGCCAAAAAGUGAGCAGCCAGCCAGCCACCCAAAAAAGUGAGCCAGCCAAAAAGCGAGCCAGUCAGACAAAAAAAAAAAAACAGCCGGCCAGUCAGACAAAAAACCAGCCAGCUAGUCAGCCAAAAAGCCAGUCAGUGAAAAAGCCAGCCAGCCAGCCAGCCAGUCAGCGAAAAAGCCAGCUAGCCAGUCAGCCAAAAAGCCAGCCAGUCAGCCAUCAAGCCAGUCAGACAAAGAGCCAAAAAGCCAGCCAUUCGACCAAAAAGGCAGUCAGCCAAAAUGCCAGUCAGUCAUCCAAAAAGCCUGUCAGCCAAACAGCCAGCCAGUCAAAAACCAGCCCAAGAGCCAGCCAGUCAGCCUGCCAAAACGCAAGCCAGCCUGCCAAAAAGAGAGACACCCAGCCCAAACUCCAGCCAGCCAGCCAAAAAGCCAGCCAGCCAGCCUCAAAGCAAGCCACCCACAAAGCCAGCCAGUCAGCCAAAAAGCCAGCCGGCCUGCCAAAAAGCCAGCUGGCCAGCCCAAACGCCAGCCAACCAAUCAGCCAAAAUGCUAGCUAGCCAGCCCAAUAGCCAGCCAGUCAGCCAAACAGCCAGCCAGCCCAAUAGCCAGCCAGUCAGCCAAAAUGUCUGCCAACCAGUCUGCCAAAACGUCAGCCAAUGAGCCAGCCAGUCAGCCCAAAAGCCAGUCAGCCCAAAAGCAUGCCAGCCAGCCAACCAUAAAGCCAGCAAGCCAGAAAUCCAGCCAGUUAUAUAGCCAAAAACCCAGCCAGCCAUCCAAAAACCAAGCCAGUCAAAAAUCCAGCCCAAAAGCCAGCCAGCCGGCCAGCCAGCCGGCUAUGCAAAAAUCCAGCUAGCCAGCCCAAAAAGCCAGCCAGCCAGCCAGCCAGUCAGUCAGCCAAAAAGCCAGCUAGCCAGCCAGCUCAAAAAGCCAGUGUUGGAAACUUUCUAUUCUCUAUUCCCUCAGUUAUGUAGAAGUAUGUUUAGGUUAUAGUUUGAUUUCUGUCUCAUGAACUUUUCUAGACCUGUCUGUGAUAUAGGUGCCAGUUAAUGUCACCAUAGGAACUUGUUUCUGUUAAAGCAAACCAGACCAUAUAUGUUCAGAAAGCUGUACAUUCUUGUAUUGCAUAAGAUGUUUUUCACGUAAAUGGCCAGUCAGUAACUGCCAUACUAUUUCAACAUCAUUACGCCUAUGCAUGGCUAUUUGUAGCUCUGUAUAUGUAUAUAAACCUGUGAAAUCUUUAAUAAAUCAGAAAGUCUCUCUGGGCUACCCUGUGUGUCAGUGUGGUUCAAUCAGACUUUCUCCAAGCUUGUAUAUGCUCUAAGGCAAACCACAUCCGCGUGGUAGCAUAGAGAAGAGAAGCACUCUACUCUUAACACAGAAAGGCUGAAAAGGCUAACAGAG
ensembl:lncRNA